rnacentral:lncRNA from 1 species
UGUUAUUUAUGUAUUAUUGUCAUUUUGUUUAUUUUCUUUGGUUACAUCUUCUGACAUCAGACUCGGAUUUCUCUUGAACUGAAUUUUAAUGUGCGUAUUGUUAUGCGUUUACUUUACUACAUUGGUUAGAGGUAUAGGGGAGGGUUGAGAUCUCACAAACAUGUUUAACCCCGCCGCAUUUUUGCGCCUGUCCCAAGUCAGGAGCCUCUGGCCUUUGUUAGUCUUGUAUUAUUUUAAUUUUAGUUUCUUGUGUACAAUUUGGAAAUUAGUAUGGCGUUCAUUAUCACUGGACUAGUAUAUAUUUGUUUAGGGGCCAGCUGAAGGACGCCUCCGGGUGCGGGAAUUUCUCGCUACAUUGAAGACCUGUUGGUGACCCUCUGCUGUUGUUUUUUAUUUGGUCGGGUUGUUGUCUCUUUGACAUAUUCCCCAUUUCCAUUCUCAAUUUUAUUCUCUUGAACUGAAUUUUAAUGUGCGUAUUGUUAUGCGUUUACUUUUCUACAUUGGCUAAAGGUAUAGGGGGAGGGUUGAGAUCUCACAAACAUGUUUAACCCCGCGGCAUUUUUGCGCCUGUCCCAAGUCAGGAGCCUCUGGCCUUUGUUAGUCUUGUAUUAUCUUAAUUUUAGUUUCUUGUGUACAAUUUGGAAAUUAGUAUGGCGUUCAUUAUCACUGAACUAGUAUAUAUUUGUUUAGGGGCCAGUUGAAGGACGCCUCCGGGUGCGGGAAUUUCUCGCUACAUUGAAGACCUGUUGGUGACCUUCUGCUGUUGUUUUUUUCUAUGGUUGGGUUGUUGUCUCUUUGGCACAUUCCCCAUUUCCAUUCUCAAUUUUAUUUU